rnacentral:rRNA from 1 species
UAAUGGCAGGUCAGCAUACUGCCGUGAAUACGUUCCCGGGCCUUGUACACACCGCCCGUCCACACCAUGAGAGUUGGGGAUACCCGAAGCCUGUGAGCUAACUUUUAGAGGCAGCAGUCGAAGGUAGAAUCAAUGAUUGGGGUGAAGUCGUAACAAGGUAUC